rnacentral:rRNA from 1 species
GGAGCAUGUGGUUUAAUUCGAUGCAACGCGAAGAACCUUACCUACUCUUGACAUCCACAGAACUUAGCAGAGAUGCUUCGGUGCCUUCGGGAACUGUGAGACAGGUGCUGCAUGGCUGUCGUCAGCUCGUGUUGUGAAAUGUUGGGUUAAGUCCCGCAACGAGCGCAACCCUUAUCCUUUGUUGCCAGCACGUAAUGGUGGGAACUCAAGGGAGACUGCCGGUGACAAACCGGAGGAAGGUGGGGAUGACGUCAAGUCAUCAUGGCCCUUACGAGUAGGGCUACACACGUGCUACAAUGGCAGAUACAAAGUGAAGCGAACUCGCGAGAGCAAGCGGACCACAUAAAGUCUGUCGUAGUCCGGAUUGGAGUCUGCAACUCGACUCCANNAAGUCGGAAUCGCU